GCAGCAAUGUUAUUUCACAAAGUUCUGGAACUGUACUUCCAUCGCCCCAUACCUCAGUAUGUUGAAACACAGUGGAGGCAUGGGAUUGGACAAUCAGUCAUCUACAAGAUCCCUCAGCACAAGUCAGGGAGGGAACCCUUAUUUCAAGUGACAGCCCACUCACAUCAAGACAUACAGAGGCAAUUUCAAUGUACUGCAUAUGAAGGAUUUGUCAAAAGUGUAUUUAUGACAAAGAAGCUUUGAAAUCAGUGUGGAUGUAGAUAUUAAGACUACUUGAAGGAUGAGGAAAAAGAACUCUUUUAAAGGGGACAGAGAGACAAUGUCGUUUACCAUAGCUAUGCUGGGAAAGGCAAAGAUGUGACAGAUGCUGA